UGAGCUUGACAGACCAAAGCUUCCGCUGC
rnacentral:piRNA from 1 species